rnacentral:rRNA from 1 species
CCUACGGGCGGCAGCAGUGAGGAAUAUUGGUCAAUGGCCGGAAGGCUGAACCAGCCAAGCCGCGUGAAGGACGAAGGUGCCAAGCAUUGUAAACUUCUUUUGUCAAGGGACAAAAUCAGGCUCGAGAGCCUGACCGAGGGUACUUGAAGAAAAAGCAUCGGCUAACUCCGUGCCAGCAGCCGCGGUAAUACGGAGGAUGCGAGCGUUAUCCGGAUGUAUUGGGUUUAAAGGGUGCGUAGGCGGGCUGUUAAGUCAGCGGUAAAAGCCCGGGGCUCAACCCCGGCGAGCCGUUGAAACUGGCGGUCUGGAGAGGGCGGGAGGUAGGGGAAAUGCGCAUUGUAGCGGUGAAAUGCU